GGCAGUGUGGCUCAGUGGCAAAGCGUGUGCUUAGCAUGCAUGAGGUCCUGGGUUCAAGCCCCACUGCCC
rnacentral:tRNA from 1 species